GCGCAGGUGGAUGCCUUGGCAACAGGAGCCGAAGAAGGACGUGGGAAUCUGCGAUAAGCCUGGUGGAGUCGAUAACCGGACGUUGAGACCAGGAUUUCCGAAUGGGGAAACCCCGCACGACGUGCCGUGUGACCCCCCGGUUGAACACAUAGACCGGGUGGAGGGAACGUGGGGAAGUGAAACAUCUCAGUACCCACAGGAAGAGAAAACAAAAAGUGAUUCCGUUAGUAGUGGCGAGCGAACGCGGAUGGGGCUAAACCGUAUGUGUGUGAUACCCGGCAGGGGUUGCAUGUGCGGUGUUGUGGGCCCCUCCUUGUCAUGUCUGCCGGCAUGGCGCAGUGAGGUGCGGGCAUAUAGACGAACCAGUGUGGAUGCUGGACCGUAGAGGGUGAGAGUCCCGUAGUCGAAAUGUGUUCCGCCGCUGUUGGGGGGUUGCCCGAGUAGCACGGGGCCCGAGGAAUCCCGUGUGAAUCUGCCAGGACCACCUGGUAAGCCUGAAUACUACCUGUUGACCGAUAGCGGAU
rnacentral:rRNA from 1 species